rnacentral:tRNA from 1 species
GCAGUGGUGGUUCAACGGUAGAAUUCUCACCUUCCAUGUGGGAGAUUUGGAUUCUAUUCCUGAUCAAUACA